UCCGGCUUGUCGCCGGCGGUCCCUUUAGAGUGCCCAACUAAAUGAUGGCAACUAAAGGCGAGGGUUGCGCUCGUUGCGGGACUUAACCCAACAUCUCACGACACGAGCUGACGACAGCCAUGCAGCACCUGAACCGGAGGUCCCCGAAAGGAAGACCCCAUCUCUGGAGCUGUCCUCCGUUGUCUAGCCCAGGUAAGGUUCUUCGCGUUGCGUCGAAUUGAACCACAUGCUCCACCGCUUGUGCGGGCCCCCGUCAAUUCCUUUGAGUUUCAGCCUUGCGGCCGUACUCCCCAGGCGGGGCACUUAAUGCGUUAGCGUCGGCACGGAAGGGGUUGAUGCCCCCCACACCUAGCACCCAACGUUUACGGCUGGGACUAC
rnacentral:misc_RNA from 1 species